AUCGACUCUAAAAAAGGAAACGUGUUUUAUAAAUUAUAUGAACUAAAAGUCUACGAGCCAGUGUCACAUCCAGUAGUGUCCUGUGUGAACGUGAGCGCUGAUAUCUGCACUCUUCAGUGUUCAGUGACUCUCACGGAGCAGACCACACUGAGCUGGUUCAGAGGAGAGCAGCCUGUGGACAGCAGCAGCUCUGCAGUGCAGCUCCUCACUGUCCAACUGAGGAAAAACACCCCAGAGUACAAAUGUGUGGCUCAAAACCCCGCUGAUGAGAAGAUUGUUAUAGUUGAUAUUAC